rnacentral:rRNA from 1 species
GGACGAACGCUGGCGGCGUGGAUUAGGCACGCAAGUCGAACGGUAUAAACCUUUCGGGGUUUAGAGAGUGGCGAACGGGUGAGUAACACGUAGGUAAUCUACCCUCAAAACGGGGACAACCCAGGGAAACUUGGGCUAAUACCGGAUGCGUGCAAACAAUGUUUUGGCUGCUGUAAUUGUUCACGGAAGUGAAUAGUUAUGAGAGUUUAGAGCAUAAUUUGCAUAAAAGAUGGCGUAAGCUGUCGUUUGAGGAUGAGCCUGCGUCCUAUUAGUUAGUUGGUGAGGUAAUAGCUUACCAAGGCGAUGAUAGGUAGGCGGCCUUAACGGGUGGUCGCCCACACUGGGAUUGAGAUACGGCCCAGACUCCUACGGGAGGCAGCAGUCGAGAAUAGUCUACAAUGGACGAAAGUCUGAUAGUGCGACGCCGCGUGAACGAAGAAUCCUUUCGGGGUGUAAAGUUCUUUUCUAUGUGAGCAGUUCCUUUUAUAUGAAGAGUAUAGGAGGCGGGAUUUAAGCAUAGGAAUAAGCAACGGCUAACUCCGUGCCAGCAGCCGCGGUAACACGGGGGUUGCAAGCGUUGUCCGGAAUUACUAGGCGUAAAGUGCAGGUAGGCGGAUAGAUAAGUUUAAGGUUAAAGGCUACGGCUUAACCGUAGUAAGGCGUUAGAUACUGUUUAUCUGGAAUGCGGNNGAGGGAGACAGAAUUCCUGGUGUAGCGGUGGAAUGCGCAGAGAUCAGGAGGAAUACCGAAGGCGAAGGCAGUCUUCUAAGCCGAANNUGACGCUAAACUGCGAAGGUGUGGGGAUCAAACAGGAUUAGAUACCCUGGUAGUCCACACAGUAAACGAUAAUCACUAGGUGUUGGGUUCGUAUAGGACUCGGUGCCGGAGCUAACGCGAUAAGUGAUUCGCCUGGGGAGUACGAUCGCAAGGUUGAAACUCAAAGGAAUUGACGGGGGCCCGCACAAGCGGUGGAGCAUGUGGUUUAAUUCGACGCAACGCGAAGAACCUUACCUGGGCUUGACAUGUAGUGGAAAGCGGUAUGAAAGUACUGCCCUUGUUGUAGCAAUACAACAACCGCUAUGCAGGUGGUGCAUGGUUGUCGUCAGCUCGUGUCGUGAGAUGUAAGGUUAAGUCCUUAAACGAGCGCAACCCCUGCCACUAGUUGCCACCGGUUCGGCCGGGCACUCUAGUGGGACCGCUAGUGAUAAACUAGAGGAAGGUGGGGAUGACGUCAAAUCCUCACGCCCCUUAUGUCCAGGGCUACACACAUGCGACAAUGGUAGGGACAGCAGGAUGCGACGAGGUAACUCUGAGCUAAUCCUCAAACCCUGCCCCAGUACAGAUCGAGGGCUGCAACCCGCCCUCGUGAAGAUGGAGUUGCUAGUAAACGCAGGUCAGCUAUACUGCGUUGAAUACGUUCCCGGGCCU